GCAGGUCGGUCUGUCGCUCGCUGUUAAAAGCGGGAGGAAAGUCCGGGCAACACAAAGCACCAUACUUCUUAACGGGAAGCAGUUCGCGAGGGUUGAGUAAUGUAACAGAAAAUAACCGCCAUAAGCUCUUCGGAGCAUAGGGUAAGGGUGAAAAGGUGAGGUAAGAGCUCACCGGGUUUUGUAGCAAUACAAGAUGCCGUAUGUCUUAUGGGUUGUAAGGUCAUGUAUACUGGCGCAUGUAGGAUUGCUCGUCCGAUGCCAGGGGGUAGACUGCUAGAGCUUGGUGGAGACAUCAAGUCGAGAUAAAUGACAGACACCUCUUUUUAACCGAAGAGGUACAGGACCCGGCUUAUAGAUCGGCUGC
rnacentral:RNase_P_RNA from 1 species